rnacentral:rRNA from 1 species
GGCGAUCAGAUACCGCCCUAGUUCUAACCGUAAACGAUGCCUACUAGCGGUGCGAAUAUAGAGUAAUCUAUACUUGCGCAGCUUCUCGGAAACGAAAGUCUUUCGGUUCCGGGGGAAGUAUGGUUGCAAAGCUGAAACUUAAAGGAAUUGACGGAAGGGCACCACCAGGAGUGGAGCCUGCGGCUUAAUUUGACUCAACACGGGAAAACUCACCCGGGCCGGACACCGUAAGGAUUGACAGAUUGAUAGCUCUUUCAUGAUUUGGUGGUUGGUGGUGCAUGGCCGUUCUUAGUUCGUGGAUUGAUUUGUCUGGUUGAUUCCGAUAACGAACGAGACUGUUAGGUAGUGUUAGGUUGUAUUAUUUUUAAUAAUGCCUCCUCCACGACCGAUUAAUAGUGUUUAACUAUUUGAGAAAGAGCGAUAACAGGUCUGUGAUGCCCUUAGAUGUCCGGGGCUGCACGCGCGCUACAAUGUAGUGAGCAUCAUGUUCCUGCUUCGAGAGAAGUGGGUAAACCUUGAAAACAUUACGUAACUGGGAGUGAAACUUGCAAUUAUGUUUCAUGAACGAGGAAUUCCAAGUAAACGCGAGUCAUUAGCUCGCAUUGAUUACGUCCCUGCCCUUUGUA